UACGUAGGGCGCAAGCGUUCUCCGGAAUUAUUGGGCGUAAAGAGCUCGUAGGCGGCCUGUUGCGUCCGCUGUGAAAUCCCGGGGCUCAACCCCGGGCCUGCAGUGGAUACGGGCUGGCUAGAGGCAGGCAGGGGAGAACGGAAUUCCUGGUGUAGCGGUGAAAUGCGCAGAUAUCAGGAGGAACACCGGUGGCGAAGGCGGUUCUCUGGGCCUGUACUGACGCUGAGGAGCGAAAGCGUGGGGAGCGAACAGG
rnacentral:rRNA from 1 species